GGUGCGUAACGCGUGGGAACAUACCCUUUGGUUCGGAAUAACUCAGGGAAACUUGAGCUAAUACCGGAUACGCCCGAGAGGGGAAAGAUUUAUUGCCGAAGGAUUGGCCCGCGUCUGAUUAGCUAGUUGGUAGGGUAACGGCCUACCAAGGCGACGAUCAGUAGCUGGUCUGAGAGGAUGAUCAGCCACACUGGGACUGAGACACGGCCCAGACUCCUACGGGAGGCAGCAGUGGGGAAUAUUGGACAAUGGGCGCAAGCCUGAUCCAGCCAUGCCGCGUGAGUGAUGACGGCCUUAGGGUUGUAAAGCUCUUUUACCCGGGAAGAUAAUGACGGUACCGGGAGAAUAAGCCCCGGCUAACUUCGUGCCAGCAGCCGCGGUAAUACGAAGGGGGCUAGCGUUGUUCGGAAUCACUGGGCGUAAAGCGCACGUAGGCGGAUCUUUAAGUCAGGGGUGAAAUCCCGGGGCUCAACCCCGGAACUGCCUUUGAUACUGGGGAUCUC
rnacentral:rRNA from 1 species